rnacentral:rRNA from 1 species
AUUGAACGCUGGCGGCAGGCCUAACACAUGCAAGUCGAGCGGAUGAAGGGAGCUUGCUCCUGGAUUCAGCGGCGGACGGGUGAGUAAUGCCUAGGAAUCUGCCUGGUAGUGGGGGAUAACGUCCGGAAACGGGCGCUAAUACCGCAUACGUCCUGAGGGAGAAAGUGGGGGAUCUUCGGACCUCACGCUAUCAGAUGAGCCUAGGUCGGAUUAGCUAGUUGGUGGGGUAAAGGCCUACCAAGGCGACGAUCCGUAACUGGUCUGAGAGGAUGAUCAGUCACACUGGAACUGAGACACGUUCCAGACUCCUACGGGAGGCAGCAGUGGGGAAUAUUGGACAAUGGGCGAAAGCCUGAUCCAGCCAUGCCGCGUGUGUGAAGAAGGUCUUCUGAUUGUAAAGCACUUUAAGUUGGGAGGAAGGUCAGUAAGUUAAUACCUUGCUGUUUUGACGUUACCAACAGAAUAAGCACCGGCUAACUUCGUG